CUUGGUCAUUUAGAGGAAGUAAAAGUCGUAACAAGGUCUCCGUUGGUGAACCAGCGGAGGGAUCAUUACAGAGUUGCAAAACUCCCUAAACCAUCGCGAACCCACCCCUAAACAGUUGCUUCGGCGGCGCCCGAAGGCCCUCACCGGCCGGAGUGCCCGCCGGGGACCCCCCAAACUCUUGUUUUUAACAAAAUGGCCUCUCUGAGUACUGUACUUUAAUAAGUCAAAACUUUCAACAACGGAUCUCUUGGUUCUGGCAUCGAUGAAGAACGCAGCGAAAUGCGAUAAGUAAUGUGAAUUGCAGACUUCAGUGAAUCAUCGAAUCUUUGAACGCACAUUGCGCCCGCGAGUAUUCUCGCGGGCAUGCCUGUUCGAGCGUCAUUUCAACCAUCAAGCCCCCGGCUUGUGUUGGGGACCUGCGGCUGCCCGCAGGCCCUGAAAGGAAGUGGCGGGGCUCGCUGCAACUCCGAGCGUAGUAGAAUCCUAUCUCGCUAGGGAGGCGCGGCGCGCUCCAGCCGUUAAAGACCCCAUCUUUAACCAAGGUUGACCUCGGAUCAGGUAGGAAUACCCGCUGAACUUAAGCAUAUCAAUAAGCGGAGGAAAAGAAACCAACAGGGAUUGCCCUAGUAACGGCGAGUGAAGCGGCAACAGCUCAAAUUUGAAAUCUGGCUUCGGCCCGAGUUGUAAUUUGUAGAGGGAGCUUUUGGCGAGGCACCUACUGAGUCCCCUGGAACGGGGCGCCAUAGAGGGUGAGAGCCCCGUAUAGUAGGACGCCGAGCCUUUGUAAAGCCCCUUCGACGAGUCGAGUUGUUUGGGAAU
rnacentral:sRNA from 1 species